rnacentral:rRNA from 1 species
ACGUGAGGGAAAGUUGCAAAGCACUUUGAAGAGAGAGUUAAAGAGGACGUGAAACCGGUGAGAUGGAAACGGAUAGAGCUAGCGUAUCCGACCUGUAUUCAGCCACUCUGCUGCUGACGUCCAGUUGCUGGCACUCCAGAUUGGGACGGUAAUUGUUCAGUUGGCGGUUUUGUGGUGCAUUUGCAGGUGGAGUGCGUUGACCCGGUUGGGAAGGUGGCAUGAAAUUGGUCUUGAGGCCAGCUUGCUGGUACCCAGGCUGAGGGAGUGUUGUUCGUCCUGACUGUGCAACUGGGCAUGGCCUACGGGCUUGGUUGGGUCUCGAGCUGAUGGUGAGCGGCGGUCGCGUGCGACACGUGCUUAGUCUUCAAUUCGGUCCUAAUCGAGCUCUCGUGCUCGCUGUCAACGUAAAAGCUGGUCAUCUAUUCGACCCGUCUUGAAACACGGACCAAGGAGUUUAUCGUGUGCGUGAGUCAUUGGGUGUUUGAAACCUAAAGGCGCAAUGAAAGUGAACGUUUCCGCAAGGAGCUGACGUGCGAUCUCGGGCAUCUAGGUGCCAGGGCGCAGCAUGGCCCCAUCCUAACUGCACGCAGUGGGGUGGCGGAAGAGCGUACGCGAUGAGACCCGAAAGAUGGUGAACUAUUCCUGAGCAGGAUGAAGCCAGAGGAAACUCUGGUGGAAGUCCGAAGCGAUUCUGACGUGCAAAUCGAUCGUCUGAC